CAUACCUACAUAUUCUCAACUGAAAAAGAAGCAAGAAAAUAAAUUAUUCGAAUAAAAAACAUUUUGAAAAAAGCGUACUCAAUUUUUACGAAGAACUUAAAAUCAACCAAAUUUUAAGAUGGGUUUAAAGUAAACUGGGCCACUUUUCUUCUCCACUUUGAUCUUCUUAGUUGUCAUUAUGUCCACAAUUUCGGAAUCAAUGGGUCAGGACGCUUGCGAUCGUUGCCGCACGACUUGCGUGGAGACUGGGACAAAAGGGGUGGGGUGCACGAGUUAUUUGUGCUUCUUCAGUUUUUGCAAGUGUCUGGGGAAAAAGGAUUGCGAUCUUCGAUUUUUCGCACCAAAAAAUUUUGUUAAGAAAUAAGGUUAAGAAUUUUGUUAAGAAUUUGAUUUCAAAAUUGUAUGGGUAUGGUCAAUAUUUAUGUAAAUUGUAUGGGAAACGAUUGUCAUUCGUUACUACGAUUGAGAAUGAUUAAAUAAAUUAUGGGUUGGGUUAAAUUUA